UACGUAGGGUGCGAGCGUUGUCCGGAAUUAUUGGGCGUAAAGCGCUUGUAGGCGGUUUGUCGCGUCUGCUGUGAAAAUCCGGGGCUCAACCCCGGACUUGCAGUGGGUACGGGCAGACUGGAGUGUGGUAGGGGAGGCUGGAAUUCCUGGUGUAGCGGUGGAAUGCGCAGAUAUCAGGAGGAACACCGGUGGCGAAGGCGGAUCUCUGGGCCAUUACUGACGCUGAGGAGCGAAAGCGUGGGGAGCGAACAGG
rnacentral:rRNA from 1 species